rnacentral:rRNA from 1 species
GACGAACGCUGGCGGCGUGCUUAACACAUGCAAGUCGAACGGAAAGGCCCUGCUUUUGUGGGGUGCUCGAGUGGCGAACGGGUGAGUAACACGUGAGUAACCUGCCCUUGACUUUGGGAUAACUUCAGGAAACUGGGGCUAAUACCGGAUAGGAGCUCCUGCUGCAUGGUGGGGGUUGGAAAGUUUCGGCGGUUGGGGAUGGACUCGCGGCUUAUCAGCUUGUUGGUGGGGUAGUGGCUUACCAAGGCUUUGACGGGUAGCCGGCCUGAGAGGGGGACCGGGCCAGAGUGGGGGUGAGGUGCCGCCCAGCCCCAGGCGGGGGGGAGGAGGGGGGAAUUGUGCACAAGGGGCGGAGGCCUGACGCAGCACCGCCGGGGGGGGGAGGGGGGCUUUGGGGUUGUAACCCGUUUGCGCUUGGGAGGAGGGGGGGGUGCGUGUAAUGGGAAAAGAAGCCCCGCCAAACUACGU